GUGGGGAAUAUUGCACAAUGGGGGAAACCCUGAUGCAGCGACGCCGCGUGAGUGAAGAAGUAUUUCGGUACGUAAAGCUCUAUCAGCAAGGAAGAAAAUGACGGUACUUGACUAAGAAGCCCCGGCUAACUACGUGCCAGCAGCCGCGGUAAUACGUAGGGGGCAAGCGUUAUCCGGAUUUACUGGGUGUAAAGGGAGCGUAGACGGUAUGGUAAGUCAGAUGUGAAAGCCCGGGGCUCAACCCCGGGACUGCAUUUGAAACUAUCAGACUAGAGUGCAGGAGAGGUAAGUGGAAUUCCUAGAGUAGCGGUGAAAUGCGUAGAUAUUAGGAGGAACACCAGUGGCGAAGGCGGCUUACUGGACUGUAACUGACGUUGAGGCUCGAAAGCGUGGGGAGCAAACAGGAUUAGAUACCCUGGUAGUCC
rnacentral:rRNA from 1 species